GCUACACAUGCAGUCGAGCGGAACGAGAAGUAGCUUGCUACUUCGGCGUCGAGCGGCGGACGGGUGAGUAAUGCAUAGGAAGUUGCCCAGUAGAGGGGGAUAACCAUUGGAAACGAUGGCUAAUACCGCAUAACCUCUUCGGAGCAAAGCGGGGGACCUUCGGGCCUCGCGCUACUGGAUACGCCUAUGUGGGAUUAGCUAGUUGGUGAGGUAAUGGCUCACCAAGGCGACNAUCCCUAGCUGGUCUGAGAGGAUGAUCAGCCACACUGGGACUGAGACACGGCCCAGACUCCUACGGGAGGCAGCNGUGGGGAAUAUUGCACAAUGGGCGAAAGCCUGAUGCAGCCAUGCCGCGUGUAUGAAGAAGGCCUUCGGGUUGUAAAGUACUUUCAGUUGUGAGGAAGGUGUGUAGUUAAUAACUGCGCAUUUUGACGUUAGCAACAGAAGAAGCACCGGCUAACUCCGUGCCAGCAGCCGCGGUAAUACGGAGGUGC
rnacentral:rRNA from 1 species